rnacentral:rRNA from 1 species
UACGAAGGGGGCGAGCGUUGUUCGGAUUUACUGGGCGUAAAGGGCGCGCAGGCGGUCAUUUUUGUCGAGUGUGAAAGCCCCGGGCUUAACCUGGGAACUGCGCUCGAAACGGGAUGACUAGAGAUCGGGAGAGGAGAGCGGAAUUCCCAGUGUAGAGGUGAAAUUCGAUAGAUAUUGGGAAGAACACCGGUGGCGAAGGCGGUUCUCUGGGCAUUACCUGACGCUGAGGAGCGAAAGUGUGGGGAGCGAACAGG